rnacentral:rRNA from 1 species
AACGAACGCUGGCGGCAUGCCUAACACAUGCAAGUCGAACGAGACCUUCGGGUCUAGUGGCGCACGGGUUCGUAACCCGUGGGAACCUGCCCUUAGGUUCGGAAUAACUCCCCGAAAGGGGUGCUAAAACGGGAUCAUAUCUUCGGACGAAAAAUUUAUCGCCUUUGGAUGGGCCCUCGUUCAAUUAGCUUGUUGGUAGGGUAAAAGCCUACUAAGGCGACGAUCCAUAGCUGGGUUGAGAGGAAGAUCAGCCACACUGGGACUAAGACACGGCCGAGACUCUUACGGGAUGCGGCAGAGUGUGAUAUUGGAAGAUGGUCUCAAGCCUGAACCAGCAAUGACGGUUGAGUGCUGUAGGCCUUAGAGUUGUAAAGCUCUUUUACCCGUGAUGAUAAUGACGGUACCGGGAGAAAAAGCCCCGGCUAACUCCGUG